rnacentral:lncRNA from 1 species
CAGACAUGAUGGACGUGGUCUAUGUGGCUCAGAUGAUCCAGAAGUUUUUGGGUUACGUUGACCAGAUCAAAGAGCUGGUGGAGGUGAUGGUGGACAUGGCCAGCAACCUGAUGCUGGUGGACGAGCACCUUUUGUGGCUGGCCCAGCGAGAAGACAAAGCCUGCAGUGGCAUUGUGGGUGCCCUGGAGCGAAUCGGAGGAGCUG